GCCUGGGUGGCUCAGUCGGUUGAGCGUCUGACUUCAGCUCAGGUCGUGAUCUCACGGUUCGGCUCAUGAGUUCGAGCCCCGCAUCGGGCU
rnacentral:tRNA from 1 species